rnacentral:rRNA from 1 species
AAUGUGAAGAUUCGAUCGUCCUGCCUCAGUCGAAUCCACACCGAGAACUCACGUCCCCCUGCGGCCUCCGGGCCGUGGCGUCGGUCCCCUGACCGUGGGAGCCUGCUCCCCUCUUAGGUCCGGCGGGCGCCCCCCAAGUCCAAUUCAUUUUGGGCCUGGGACCAGGCGCUGGUAAUUUCCUAUCCAACCCAACCCACCCCAAACCAAACCAAUUCAAACUGAAGCUCUGUGGCAGCCGGCUCGACCGCCUCCACUCAAACCAAUGACAACUCUCAACAACGGAUAUCUUGGCUCCCGUAUCGAUGAAGAACGCAGCGAAAUGCGAUACGUAGUGUGAAUUGCAGAAUUCCGUGAACCAUCGAAUCUUUGAACGCAAAUUGCGCCCGAGGCCUCGGCCGAGGGCAUGUCUGCCUCAGCGUCGGUUUACACCCUCAACCCCCCUUUCCGGGUGGGUUGGACCUGGCCCCCUCGGAUUUUUUAAUUAAAAUUCGGGCCGGCUGAAGUGGAGAGGCUUGAGCAUGGACCCCGUUUGCAGGGAAAUGGCUUGGUAGGUAGGCACCCCCUACAACCGCCUGCCGUUUCUCGAGGGGAUCGUGCUGGGAGCCCAGCAGGAAUUUUCGGCGGCCCCGGCCCCCGAAAAAACUCAUACCUUCGACCUGAGCUCAGGCAAGAACACCCGCUGAACUUAAGCAUAUCAAUAAGCGGAGGAAAAGAAUUAAACCCAGGGAAUAAUUUCAAGUCGUCAGGGAGCAAUCCUGAUCUGCUUACCCCGCUACUGCACUACAUUUACCACCUCAACACUUACUCGCACGAUUGAACUCUGUCGUACUGACAUCAGCCCUCAAUCCCUUGGAUCUUGGGUUUAGAUUCUAAGCAAAAACCAAAAUCUUAUGACUCUGGCAGCACAGGAUAUACGCUUGUAGACUAUUCCUUGUGUUAGGCAGACCCCUGAUCAGUCGUGUCAUGGCUACAUCAGCUAUGAUGGAGCAGUUCUGUGA